rnacentral:rRNA from 1 species
UACGGAGGGUGCGAGCGUUGUCCGGAAUCACUGGGCGUAAAGGGCGCGUAGGUGGCCUGUGGAAGUCUGCGGUGAAAGCCCGGCGCUCAACGCCGGGUCGGCCGUGGAUACUCUCGGGCUUGAGCUUACUAGAGGCAGAUGGAAUUCCGGGUGUAGCGGUGGAAUGCGUAGAGAUCCGGAAGAACACCGGUGGCGAAGGCGGUCUGCUGGGGUAAUGCUGGACACUGAUGCG